UACGUAGGCGGAAAAAUAAGUCAGUGGUGAAAUCCUGCAGCUCAACUGUAGAACUGCCAUUGAAACUAUUUUUCUUGAGUAUAGUUGAGGUGGGCGGAAUGUGUCAUGUAGCGGUGAAAUGCUUAGAUAUGACACAGAACACCGAUUGCGUAGGCAGCUCACUAAACUAUUACUGACGCUGGGGUACGAAAGCGUUGGGAGCGAACAGGAUUAGAUACCCUGGUAGUCC
rnacentral:rRNA from 1 species